UGAAAAAUGGUGUCUUUGGCAAAGUUGUUUAUUAAAUCAAUAGCUCUUAAUUAGUAAUUUAAUGGUGGUAAGCUCCAUGAAAGAUGAUACCUGAUUUAAUCUGGAUUAUCGGAAAUCGGGUAUUAAAAUUAGUACCCUGUUCGUUAAGCACCAAAGUGGGUAAUAACGCAGCCACUUUAGACUUCACGCACAAAUUUGAGAAUGUGUGCGUGUGAGAAUGCCAGCAUGAAAGCAAAACCAAGAAUGACAUUUUUUACCUGUUCUCUGCAUGGUUUCCACAGCAUUCGUAAACAAACAUUGUCAUAAGCCAGUAUAUUGAAUUAGAAUUCCUAAAAUAAAUUUUCUUUAACAAACUAAUUAAGUUGUUCGCAAAUGUAAAAGUAAUAUUCGCUGCAGCGUUGACCAUACGAACGUGAGCAAUAUUGAUUUCCCGGGAAGAAGUCACUAUUCGGGAGAAACGGUCCAAGGAUUCAAGAGACAGUACUUUCCUCGAGGACAGUACCCGCUAGCAGCAAGGCGUUUUCUGAUUUUUUGCUCAAUUCUGCAACGUUCACGCAUUUGGCAAUCCGUUGGUGCUAUAUAUUACGAAUGGAGUUAUCUAGCAGAAAACUGUUGCAAUGCAAGAUCGGCAUCACGCCGGGGCAUCUACUCAGGAGUUAACAUCGACAUCACGUUUGAAUUGAUCUUCGUUCCACCGAUGGAUAUGGAUAUCUGUCUAUCGGAAAUUGAUAUUUCCAAAAGAAGGAAUGUAGGGAAAGUGUACCAGUCAUGGUUAUAAUGGUUCCCUAUUUGGCCCUAAUGUGAAGGUUCGAAAACUUUUACAUUUUGGAUGUUUUAACGUCAAUAUGAAUUUGAUAUAAAAUUACUUAAACACGCAAAAUGGUCAAACAUUUGAAAACAUUGGGAACCAUAAUGCCGUGAAUGGUGCACCUACCCUACUCGAAAUAAAAUCUAUUGGCCGGCAUCACACCAUGGAUAAGUAAAUCUAUUACAGGACAGAAAGUGUAAUAUU